GUGCUCACUUAAGCAGCACAUACACUAAAAUUGGAAUGACACAGAGACUAGCAUGGUCUUGUGCAAGAAUGACACACAAAUUUGUGAAGCAUUCCAUAUUUUU
ensembl:snRNA U6 U6 spliceosomal RNA